CUUGACCGCUGGCGGCAGGCCUAACACAUGCAAGUCGAACGAGUGGCGGACGGGUGAGUAAUGUCUGGGAAACUGCCCGAUGGAGGGGGAUAACUACUGGAAACGGUAGCUAAUACCGCAUACCAUCGGAUGUGCCCAGAUGGGAUUAGCUAGUAGGUGGGGUAACGGCUCACCUAGGCGACGAUCCCUAGCUGGUCUGAGAGGAUGACCAGCCACACUGGGACUGAGACACGGUCCAGACUCCUACGGGAGGCAUCAUUGGGGAAUAUUGCACAAUGGGCGCAAGCCUGAUGCAGCCAUGCCGCGUGUAUGAAGAAGGCCUUCGGGUUGUAAAGUACUUUCAGCGAGGAGGCGUUACUCGCAGAAGAAGCACCGGCUAACUCCGUGCCAGCAGCCGCGGUAAUUC
rnacentral:rRNA from 1 species